rnacentral:misc_RNA from 1 species
GAUGAAGAACGCAGCGAAUUGCGAUAAGUAAUGCGAAUUGCAGAAUCCAGCGAGCCAUCGAAUCUUUGAACGCACAUUGCGCCCGCCGGCAUUCCGGCGGGCAUGCCUGUCCGAGCGUCAUUACGCCGCCCGAGCACCGCUCGGUGUUGGGACACCGCCGCGCCCCGGCGGGUCCCCAAGUCCAGCGGCAGGCCCCCCCGCGGCCCCGAGCGCAGUAGUCAUCUCCUCGCCCAGGGUGCCCGGAGGGGCCUCGCCCCAACCACCAAAAGUACCACUGGUUGACCUCGGAUCAGGUAGGAAUACCCGCUGAACUUAAGCAUAUCAAUAAGCGGAGGA